GAUGAACGCUAGCGGCAGGCUUAACACAUGCAAGUCGAGGGGCAGCACGGUAGCAAUACUGGUGGCGACCGGCAAACGGGUGCGGAACACGUACAGAACCUACCUUGAUCUGGGGCAUAGCCCGGAGAAAUCCGGAUUAACUCCCCAUAAUAUAGAUGAGUGGCAUCACUUGACUAUUAAAAUUUAUUGGAUCGAGAUGGCUGUGCGUCCCAUUAGCUAGUGGUAGGGUAACGGCCUACCAAGGCGACGAUGGGUAGCUGGUGUGAGAGCACGACCAGCCACACGGGCACUGAGACACGGGCCCGACUCCUACGGGAGGCAGCAGUGAGGAAUAUUGGUCAAUGGACGCAAGUCUGAACCAGCCAUGCCGCGUGAAGGAUGAAGGCCUUCUGGGUUGU
rnacentral:rRNA from 1 species